UCUUGAUUUUUAGUAUUAAUGAUAUCAGGUGUUUAAAAAGUUUUUAAAAAAAGUUUUAUUCUUGCUUAUUUAUUUACUUUAUCUUUGUAUUAUAUACUAGUUUUGAAUACUAAAGGUUUCGUUUUGUAUUAAUUUAAUUUAAUUAUCAAGUGAGUUUGGAAUUAGCUAUUGAUUAAAGUUUUGGCUAUAUUUGUGCCAGCAGCCGCGGUUAUACAAUUAAUGCAAGUAAAUAUUUUUGGUUAGGCAGUUAUUUUAAAUUUAGAGCUUUAUUAUUAAUUUAUUAGGUGGAAUUUUUUAUUUGUUUUUAGUUCUUAUUUUAUUCUGUGAAAUUUAAAUUUUAAACUAGGAUUAGAUACCCUAUUAUUUUGAUUGUAAAUAAAUUUACCUGAGUAUUAAUAGUUAAUUUCUUUAAACUCAAAGAAUUUGGCGGUAUUUUAUUCUAUUCAGAGGAACCUACCCCAUAAUUGAUAUUACACGAUUAGUAAUACUUAAUUUUUAGUUUGUAUAUCUCCGUUAUCAGAAAAUCUUUUUAGGGUUUUAUUAAAUUUUCUUUUUUCUUUAAUAAGAGUUAUUUCAGGUCAAGGUGCAGCUUAAUUAAGAGGAGGCGGGUUACAAUAAAUUGUAAUUUAUUAUGGAUUCUAUAAAUGAAUAAUUUGGAUUAAAGUGGAUUUGAUAGUAAUUUGUUUAUUUUUAUUUCAUUUGAAAUUAGCUCUAAAAUAUGUACACAUCGCCCGUCACUCUCGUUAUUAGUUUAUGUAAAUAUUUAUAAAAAUGAGAUAAGUCGUAACAUAGUAGAUGUACUGGAAAGUGUAUCUAGUAAGAUUAAA
rnacentral:ncRNA from 1 species